rnacentral:rRNA from 1 species
GACGAACGCUGGCGGCGUGCCUAAUACAUGCAAGUAGAACGCACAGUUUAUACCGUAGCUUGCUACACCAUAAACUGUGAGUUGCGAACGGGUGAGUAACGCGUAGGUAACCUGCCUGGUAGCGGGGGAUAACUAUUGGAAACGAUAGCUAAUACCGCAUAAUAUUAAUUAUUGCAUGAUAAUUGAUUGAAAGAUGCAAUUGCAUCACUACCAGAUGGACCUGCGUUGUAUUAGCUAGUAGGUGAGGUAACGGCUCACCUAGGCGACGAUACAUAGCCGACCUGAGAGGGUGAUCGGCCACACUGGGACUGAGACACGGCCCAGACUCCUACGGGAGGCAACAGUAGGGAAUCUUCGGCAAUGGACGAAAGUCUGACCGAGCAACGCCGCGUGAGUGAAGAAGGUUUUCGGAUCGUAAAGCUCUGUUGUAAGAGAAGAACGGGUGUGAGAGUGGAAAGUUCACACUGUGACGGUAUCUUACCAGAAAGGGACGGCUAACUACGUG